UACGUAGGGGGCAAGCGUUGUCCGGAUUCAUUGGGCGUAAAGAGCGUGUAGGCGGCCAGGUAGGUCGGUUGUGAAAACUGGAGGCUCAACCUUCAGAGGUCGACCGAAACCAUCUGGCUAGAGUCCGGGAGAGGAGAGUGGAAUUCCUGGUGUAGCGGUGAAAUGCGCAGAUAUCAGGAAGAACACCCGUGGCGAAGGCAGCUCUCUGGGACGGUACUGACGCUGAGACGCGAAAGCGUGGGGAGCGAACAGG
rnacentral:rRNA from 1 species